AAGGACAACAACCACCCGAGCCACUGCCUGUUCACCCCGCUAUCAUCCAGAAGGCGAGGCAACGCCGUCCUGGAGCUGCGGCUCCUCCUCCACGCCCUCACCAAAGCAGCGUGCCACCUGUACCUAGCCGUGCUCCCACUGCGCCGCGCCACACUGCACCUUGCCCGCUUUGUCUGUUACCUGGUAAACCAUGGCCCCGCCUCCGCUGGCCGGGCGUCUCCUCUUUUCCUCGAGGGGGUGUGUGUGAUAUGUGAAGCGGUACCGGACCUGCUGGGAGCCGGGCUCAGUCUGUGUGCAGUAGUAUGUCACAUCCUACAGGGGGCACUGUUCCUGCUGGCCGCCACGGUGAGGUCGGUCCAGGUGAGUGUUCUGGCCCAGGUGGACGGGGAGAAGGAGAGAUGGGAGAAGGAGCAGCAUCAGGCGCGGCAGGACGAGAGGAGACAGAACUCCAGGGUGGUGGAAUACCUUUCUGUGUUCUGUCAAGACCCCAUCAGUUCACUACGACUCAAAGUGGACAUGAUCAAUAGAUAACGGCACCGUCUGUCUGUCUGUCUGUCUGUCUGUCUGUCUGUCUGUCUGUCUGUCUGUCUGUCU
rnacentral:lncRNA from 1 species